GUCUGAGCAAUAGACAAUGGGGUAUCCACGGUGGCCCUGGGCGUUACCCAACAGGAAGUUACUGUCUGCAAAGGGUGACAUGAGAAGGUGCUGAUAUUGUGAUGUGCCUGCUUUGGGAGUAAAGCUGUGGAUGGUAAAAUGCAAUAUACCAACAUGACCUGAUGAAGAUCCAUAAGGGCCAUACAUCUAAAUGCGAAUUUAAAGUGGUGGAAUAUGAA